rnacentral:rRNA from 1 species
AACGAACGCUGGCGGCAUGCCUAACACAUGCAAGUCGAACGAGACCUUCGGGUCUAGUGGCGCACGGGUGCGUAACGCGGGGGAACCUGCCCUUAGGUUCGGAAUAACUCCCCGAAAGGGGUGCUAAUACCGGAUAAUGUCUUCGGACCAAAGAUUUAUCGCCUUUGGAUGGGCCCGCGUUGGAUUAGCUAGUUGGUAGGGUAAAAGCCUACCAAGGCGACGAUCCAUAGCUGGUCUGAGAGGAGGAUCAGCCACACUGGGACUGAGACACGGCCCAGACUCCUACGGGAGGCAGCAGUGGGGAAUAUUGGACAAUGGGCGAAAGCCUGAUCCAGCAAUGCCGCGUGAGUGAUGAAGGCCUUAGGGUUGUAAAGCUCUUUUACCCGGGAUGAUAAUGACAGUACCGGGAGAAUAAGCUCCGGCUAACUCCGUG